GACGAACGCUGGCGGCGUGCUUAACACAUGCAAGUCGAACGGAAAGGCCCUGCUUUUGUGGGGUGCUCGAGUGGCGAACGGGUGAGUAACACGUGAGUAACCUGCCCUUGACUUUGGGAUAACUUCAGGAAACUGGGGCUAAUACCGGAUAGGAGCUCCUGCUGCAUGGUGGGGGUUGGAAAGUUUCGGCGGUUGGGGAUGGACUCGCGGCUUAUCAGCUUGUUGGUGGGGUAGUGGCUUACCAAGGCUUUGACGGGUAGCCGGCCUGAGAGGGGGACCGGCCACAUUGGGACUGAGGUACGGCCCAGACUCCUACGGGGGGCAGCAGGGGGGAAUAUUGCACAAUGGGCGGAAGCCUGAUGCAGCAACGCCGCGUGCGGGAUGACGGCCUUCGGGUUGUAAACCGCUUUCGCCUGUGACGAAGCGUGAGUGACGGUAAUGGGUAAAGAAGCACCGGCUAACUACGUG
rnacentral:rRNA from 1 species